rnacentral:rRNA from 1 species
UACGUAGGGUGCGAGCGUUAAUCGGAAUUACUGGGCGUAAAGCGUGCGCAGGCGGUGAGCUGUGUCCGAUGUGAAAGCCCCGGGCUUAACCUGGGAAUGGCAUUGGAAACUGGCUCGCUGGAGUGUGGCAGAGGGGGGUGGAAUUCCGCGUGUAGCAGUGAAAUGCGUAGAGAUGCGGAGGAACACCGAUGGCGAAGGCAGCCCCCUGGGCUAACACUGACGCUCAGGUACGAAAGCGUGGGGAGCAAACAGG